rnacentral:rRNA from 1 species
UACGUAGGGGGCGAGCGUUGUCCGGAAUUACUGGGCGUAAAGAGAGCGUAGGCGGCACUACAAGUCUCAUGUGAAAUACCCGGGCUUAACUUGGGGGUUGCAUGGGGAACUGUAGAGCUUGAGUACAGGAGAGGCAAGCGGAAUUCCUAGUGUAGCGGUGAAAUGCAUAGAUAUUAGGAGGAACACCAGUGGCGAAGGCGGCUUGCUGGACUGAAACUGACGCUGAGGCUCGAAAGCGUGGGGAGCAAACAGG